rnacentral:rRNA from 1 species
GGGAUGACACAGUAGGAUAAGCUAAGCACACUGUUGGUUAUGUGUGCCCAAGCAUUGAGGCAGUCAAAGUAGGCAAAUCCGCUUUGAUAAUGCUGGGAUGUGAUGGGGAGCGAAAUGUAGUAGCGAAGUAGCUGAUUUCACACUGUCAAGAAAAGUCUCUAUCGAGGUUAAAGGUACCCGUACCGCAAACCGACACAGGUGGGUGAGGAGAGUAUCCUAAGGCCAGCGAGAGAACUGUUGUUAAGGAACUCGGCAAAAUGACCCCGUAACUUAGGGAUAAGGGGUGCCACCAUCA